rnacentral:rRNA from 1 species
UACGUAGGGGGCAAGCGUUGUCCGGAAUUAUUGGGCGUAAAGAGCGCGCAGGCGGUCGUGCAAGUCGCGUGUGAAAGCCCCCGGCUCAACUGGGGAGGGUCACGCGAUACUGCUCGACUCGAAGGCAGGAGAGGGUAGUGGAAUUCCCGGUGUAGUGGUGAAAUGCGUAGAUAUCGGGAGGAACACCAGUGGCGAAGGCGACUACCUGGCCUGUUCUUGACGCUGAGGCGCGAAAGCUAGGGGAGCAAACGGG